AGUGCAUCAGUAACAGCCCAGGCCUCUCAGCUCCAUAGUCACCCUUCAUUGUCCGGCUUCACCAAUAGAGGGCGCUGGAAGGACACUGGAGGAGAGAGGGGCUCUUCCUGGUUUGGGGUGUGCUCAUUACUAGCUGACUCCCGGAGGGCAGGCUGGCACCUUCCAGUGGAAGACUUCUCAGACCCGGGAGGAUAGAUUCCAGCGAGGUCCACCACGCAGCACCUCCACAGAAGUCCCUGUCAUCCAAGGCCUACACCUACAUCCUUUCCAACAAUGUCUGGGCUCUUCCAGAUUGGCGACUUCAUUGAACACUCUGCUUUGGUCCUCGAGAAAAUGUUACAAUGUCAUUGCUACAUGAAGAGAAGAUCAAGAGAAUUCAGCCAGAAGACUGUAGAAACAAAGUCAUGAAUCAUGCUGUCCUUGGAUAACCCGGUGUCACCCAGAAUCUCUGUAUCCCUUGGAAAUGUAGACUUUCUCCAACCGCCUCUCCCUCCUUGGUGGCUUCUCUGCCUGGACAGACUUGUCUUUGUAUUAGUAGUGUCACUUUACCUCCUACUACUCAGGAACAGACCAGCCAGUCCCAUGACAAAUUUCCACAAAAUGCCAUGUAUCUUGUAAAUUUAAUGAAUCACUUUGGGAAAAGGUGGGACACAGAGAGCUUAAUGUAAAAAAACCCAUUUUUUUGGUCAGAGUGCUGAAAAAAAUAGAACUUCUUUAACAGGUUCUGAGUAGAAACAUAGCUCAAUGAAGAAAUAAAAGCACCUACUGUUUGAAAGUCCUGCUGUUAAAGUCUUACUUUUCUUCAUUACACCGGGCAUAGUGGGAAGAAAUCUGCUUCUGUUUCACUCAGGGAUAUUGUUCUGGAAUCACAGCUUUUCAGACAGGCUUCCUGUGGAUUACCAUGAGGCUAGCCCUAAAUGUUUAUAAGGGACUCCCUUGCCUAUUUCUCCCCUUGUAUCCAUCUUCAUUGUGAUUUCCUCCUAGGUCAUAAUUUGGCUCAAGGUCCUGAUUAGUUUCAAGUGGGUAAAAUGACCUAUUAUCAGAUAUGAAUCGAGGGGAAACAGAAGAAGGGCCUGUUUGGUUGGCUCUGCAGUUCAGAGCAAUGGAAGACUUUCUUUCUGUGGUAUCCAGGAGUUUGGCAGUGAC
rnacentral:lncRNA from 1 species